rnacentral:rRNA from 1 species
UUGAAAGGGAAACGAUUGAAGUCAGUCGUACCUGCGGAUAAUCAACCUUUAGAUGCGAUUUUGUGGAGUGUGAGGAGCUAAUCGCCUUCAUGCCUGUAUAUUCGUGUACUUGGGGUGUACUUAUUCGUGAGGUAAGUUAACAUCAAUUUUGGUGGUCAUAAAAUGACUGGAGGAAUGUAGCUUCGAUCUCGUAUUGAAGUGUUAUAGCCCUCGGUAGAUGUAAUGAUCGAGAUUGAGGAUUGCAACGGAUACCCUUCGGGGCUACCUGUCUGGUCUCUGAUCGUUGCUCUGGUGCCGAAAGCUUGCUUACGGUUAUCAAAGUCGAUGGUCAAUAGGUUAGAACGGGUUAAAUUCGUUAAGGAUGUUGACGUA